AUCGUCAGCACUUGCAGACCACUUACUUGCAUCGAGAGGACCUCUGAAAGCAUCUUUGGUAAUAGCACUCAUCACAAUGCUGUCUUUUGCUGUUAUUCUACUGAUUAGUGUGGCUGGUGCGAUAGCAGGGACUGCUCCGGCUAACCUAGGUCUCAGUGCCCUCGGUGCCAACGGUGGCCUCGGCGUCGGACGCGGACUCGGAUACGGACGCGGAGUCGGA